rnacentral:rRNA from 1 species
CCUACGGGAGGCAGCAGUAGGGAAUUUUCGGCAAUGGGGGGAACCCUGACCGAGCAAUGCCGCGUGAACGAAGAAGUUAUUCGUAAUGUAAAGUUCUUUUAACAGGGAAGAAAGAGAAAUUUGACGGUACCUGAAGAAUAAGCUCCGGCUAACUACGUGCCAGCAGCCGCGGUAAUACGUAGGGAGCGAGCGGUAUCCGGAAUUAUUGGGCGAAAAGGGUGCGUAGAUGGCAUAGUAAGUCUUUUGUAAAAAUGCUGGGCUCAACCCAGUAGGGCAAAAGAUACUGCAAAGCUAGAGUAUGAAAGAGGCAAGUGGAACUACAUGGGUAGCGGUAAAAUGCGUAAAUAUAUGUAAGAACACCAGUGGCGAAGGCGGCUUGCUGGGUCGAUACUGACAUUGAGGCACGAAAGCGUGGGGAGCAAACAGGAUUAGAUACCCUGGUAGUC